UACGUAGGGGGCGAGCGUUGUCCGGAUUUAUUGGGCGUAAAGAGCGUGUCGGCGGUUCGGUAAGUCUGUCGUGAAAUCCUGAGGCUCAACCUCGGGCGUGCGAUGGAUACUGCCGGGCUAGAGGGUGGUAGAGGCGAGUGGAAUUCCCGGUGUAGCGGUGAAAUGCGCAGAUAUCGGGAGGAACACCAGUAGCGAAGGCGGCUCGCUGGGCCACACCUGACGCUGAGACACGAAAGCGUGGGGAGCAAACAGG
rnacentral:rRNA from 1 species